CCCAGACUCCUACGGGAGGCAGCAGUGGGGAAUAUUGCACAAUGGGGGAAACCCUGAUGCAGCAACGCCGCGUGAGUGAAGAAGUAUUUCGGUAUGUAAAGCUCUAUCAGCAGGGAAGAAGAAAGACGGUACCUGACUAAGAAGCCCCGGCUAACUACGUGCCAGCAGCCGCGGUAAUACGUAGGGGGCAAGCGUUAUCCGGAUUUACUGGGUGUAAAGGGGGCGCAGACGGCGAUGCAAGCCAGGAGUGAAAGCCCGGGGCCCAACCCCGGGACUGCUCUUGGAACUGCGUGGCUGGAGUGCAGGAGGGGCAGGCGGAAUUCCUGGUGUAGCGGUGAAAUGCGUAGAUAUCAGGAGGAACACCGGUGGCGAAGGCGGCCUGCUGGACUGCAACUGACGUUGAGGCCCGAAAGCGUGGGGAGCAAACAGGAUUAGAUACCCCGUAUA
rnacentral:rRNA from 1 species